GUUCUUUACAAACUAAGACUUGUAUGCUUUUUAUUUAUCAAUUUUAGAUCUUGUUUAGAUUCUUAUGGUGUCAAAAUAUUUCUACGUUGUUUCAGGAUCUUCUGUUUUUGGCUUGUAGUCAUCUAGAUAACAGAACUACAAUGACUAGAGUGUCCAGAAUGGAUUUUGGAGAUUUUGAUAUCUAACCAUGAGGAUGUGGAGGCAACAAUUCAUUGUGCGGAGUGACUCUCAAUGGUUGGACGAUCUUGCACUGGAGGCCAAAGGAUCAGGUGGUCCCUUCACUCUUAAAAAGCUGUAGGUUAGCUAGAUAUCGUGGUGAACUUCGGGCUACAUCUUCAAAGGCUGCUACUGAUGAAGUGGUGCUUGCAAAAACAACUCAACAAACUGCAGACCAAGAAGUGGGUGCUACAAUUUCAGCAACCCGUAUAACAACACAAUAUCAGCAGGAACAGCUGACUGUCAGCCAUGAAACGCUGACUACACUUUCAGCAGGAACUCCACCACGCAUGAAAGGAUGGCUAGUUAAAAAAUCACCCCCAAGAAGAAGAAAGUGUGAAGUAUUUGUGUUUUGUGUGUGAACUGAAAUCUGGGAACUAUGUAUCUGUGGUUUGUGUCUGUGUACUGAAAUCUGGGAACUGAAACUAUGUAUGUGUGGUUUCUGUGUGUGAACUGGAACUGAGUCACAGAACUAUGUAUCUGUGAUAUGUGUGAACUGCAAUCUGAAAUUGUCAGUUUAUUGCUGAA